GAGGCUUGCGCUUGGCGAAUUAACAUUAAAUAUUAUUAAAUAAAUGGAAAAAGCAUUAUCCAGUAUUCAAGAAAAUACAACUACUCUCCUUAAAGAAGUUAUUUAAUCAAGCUACUAUCUACAAGCCACAAAACCCGAAUUUAUUCAAAAAUGCAUUUUCUAUAGGGAGCAGUAAGAAGAAAUACUAGCCUGUAUAAUAUACAGAUGUAUGUGUGCGUUGUUGUGUAUAGAAGGAUGAUUGCUAGGGCAACCCGAUGCUGAGUACAGGGUAUUUUCCAAUCGGGCGCUUCCAAAUAGAUCACUUUCAGUUAUUUUUUUUAAUUGUGGUCGUCCCUCUGCCAAAAGCGGAAACUCUUUGUAUGAGCAACAAACUUGAAGAGCGCAUGCAACAACUACAACAACAGCAAAGGCAAUUGUGCACAUACAACAAAAUGCCUGCAUGUGCACGCAUGCAUGUUCGUCUGUGUGUGUGUGUGUGUGUGUGCUUAAUUUUUAAUGCUGGGCGUGGACGACAGGACCGCUGGCGUGGGCGCGCCAAAGGCGCUUAAAGGCGCUCGCAAACAUUUUAACAACACUUGGCAUUUCAUGCUGGUGACAUUAAACAGCAUCAGAAGCAGCAACUGCAACUUUUGUCAUGCAAUGAGGUCAACAAUGAGCGUCCGCAAAAAGUAUGCUGUUUUUUUUUUGUACUUGGUUUUCUGCUCUGCUCGACUGUUUCAUAAAAAUGCCAAUUACAUACAUGCUGCUGCUGGUAAUAAAAGGGGUCACUUGGAAAUGGCACAAUUUAAUUAUAAAUAAAAAACAACAGACAUUAACUGUUGUGAAAACAACAGAUAAAAUGCGAUCAAUAGUUAACUAAGAUUUAAUAAAAUGGCUACGAUAUUGAAAAAAAAAAAAAAA